CACUAAAGCUAGCCCAGGGUUUCCUCACCUGCCCCCUGCCUGAUGCGGCUGGAGUCUGGAGGUGUCUCAGGCGCUGGAGACCCCGGGGUCGGGGGUUCCGGGAACAUGGCGUCGGGUUCCUGCGGUGCUUCCUGCAGAGGGCUUGAACCGGAAGUGGGCGCAAGCAGGCGUGGGAACCAGCAGACCACUGUUGCCCUGAGCUACCGCCAGGCUCCAAGCAGGGUGAUAGCAGUGCUGGUUGCUGAGCAACGAGCCUGUUGCCAAGACAACGGGAAGGACUGACGCACGGAAACGAAGUCCGGGCGGUGCCGGUGCAUGGGACCCAGGUCCCGGAUCCCGCGGCCGAGUGAGGGCGGCCUGUGAUCUGUGUAUCCAUUGCGGCUCCUCCCUCCGCAUUGGACCCCUUGCACCACCACUCUUGCUGCGUGACAGCUUUCUGAGACUGCCAGAAUCCCUCACAGAAGCCCGGAUUUCCCAGAGCCUGGUGUGCCUUUCCUUACUGCAGCCUGUAGUCACUUCUGCUGUUUGAACACACGGUGGCGUGCAAGGAAGGUUUGUAUCCUCCCUGCUCCAGGCAUUGCCAGAAGGUAGGUGCAGAUGGGACUUGGAGAACGCAGCCCUCUUUCUGUAGGCAGCCAAGGCUCUGCAGGUCAUCCCUAACAGACUCACUUACUCAUCAAGCUGUGCUUGUCGGGCGCUCCGAGCUUUCAGUGCCGCCCCUGUUUGGAAGCAGCUAUUUCUUUUCCAAGCCCCUGCUGAGUUCACAGGACACACCUGAGUUGCUUCCAGUCCGUGCUCACAUACUUUUUAACUGGCUUCCCUUUUCCUCAAUCAGUCGUUUUGUUUUGUUUUUAAAUCAUGCGUUUUAUUUAGUGUGUGUUGGGAGAAUGAGGUAGGGAGCAUGCGAGUGCCCUGAUGUGUGUGUAGGGAAGUUAGACAGCAACUGGUGGGAAUCACACUUUCUUCCCGCAAUGUAAAUCCUCUGAACUGGACUCAGGUCAUAAUGCUUCACGGCAAGUCCCUUCCAGACUGAGCCAUCUUGUCAGACUGCCUUCCGUUGCUUUUGUUUUAUUUAUUUAGGUUUGAUUUUUGUUUCUGAGAUAGAGUUUUGCUGUGGAGUCUGGACUGUCCUGCAUCUCACUAUGGGCUGGCCUCAGAACUCACAGAGAUCAGCCGGCUUCUGCCUUUGAAGUGCUAGGAUUAAAGGCAUGGGCCAGCAAGCCUGGCCCCCUCCUAUAGUUUUAAUGCUGCCCAGUGUGUUCCUCAACCUCCCUCUCCUCUCUUCUUGCUUUAUUUGUCUCCACACAUAGAUCAAAGUCUAGAUUAUCUUCCCCUUUAACAAUUCCUGGUACUAGAACACAAGUCGAGUUUGAUGCCCAAGACCCACAUGUAGAAAGAGAGGGGGCUGGGGAUUUAGCUCAGUGGUAGAGCGCUUACCUAGGAAGCACAAGGCCCUGGGUUUGGUCCCCAGCUCCGAAAAAAAGAACCAAAAAAAAAAAAAAAAAAAAAAAAAAGGAGAGAACCAAUUCUCACAACUGAUCCUCUGACCUCCUCACACGCACUGUGUUGUGUGAAUAAGUAAAAUACAUACAUACAUACAUACAUACAUACAUACAUACAUACAUACAUGUAAGACAAUUGGGAUGGGGACUGCAGAGAUGGCUCAGUGCUUAAGAGAAUUGGUUAGUCUUCCAGAGGACUCAGGUUCAAUCCCCAGCAUCCACCCCACAUGACAACUCACGACCAUCUGUAACUCUAGUUCUGUUGGGAUCUAAUGCCCUCCUCUGGCCUGCUCAGGCACCAGGCCUGUGUGCAGUAAACAGACAUACAUGCAUGAAAACAUUCAUACACAUAAAAUUAGUAAUUUUUUUAAAAUGAGACUGAAUACGAUCAAACCAUAUUGCAUACAUAUACAAAAAUUUUCAAAGAACGAUAAAUGAAGAUUUAAAAAAAAAACUCCCUGAAUGAGGUAGGGACCCCCAUUGCAGGGGUCCCAGGUCCCUUCUGAGGCUGGUGUGAGGAAACUAAUUGGUUCUACCCUCCAACCUGUCCAAUGAGCAGCAAACUCUACCCGACCUGAUGGUGAUUCCCUUGGAUGCUCCCCCAGCCUCACUCACCGGAACACCAGAUCCUUGGGCACUUCCUUUGGCUGCUGCUUCUUUCUCCUGGAAGAAAGGCACGGAAAAGCUUGGGGCCCGAGCUCAGGACCAGGGAUCCUCAUCUUCCCUUUGGGGUUGCCACCAGCCAAGCACCCGCCAGUCCUGUUCCAAGACUCACCUCCUCUUCAGGAAGACAAUGAGCAGGCCCACCAGGAUGAAAAGCAGGAGGAUGCCUACAAUGGCUCCAGCAAUGACGGCUGCCGUGAGGAUCAAAGGGAGAAAUGCUGGUGACUAUGUGUGCAUGACACGUGUGUGUGUGUGUGUCUGUCUGUCUGUCUGUCUUUCUGUCUGUCUGUGUCUCCAUGCAUGUCUCCAUGUGAUAUGGCACAUGUGUGUAGAAGUCAAAGAACAGCUUUUUAUGUGGUCAGUUUUCGCUCUUCGCCAUGUGGACCCCAUGGAUCAAACUCAGGUCUUCAGUCUUGUGAGAUACACAUCUUUACCUGACGAGCCAGCUUGCUGGCCCAAAGCCCAGGUCUUGUCUACAGAUUUGCUAUCUCUGUCUUCAGCCAGCUCUGUGUUAAGAGGCCCACAGGAAGGAUGGACAAAAGGGAAAAGACAACCCUUCUCUGAAAACCCCUGACUUUUAGCUGCACACCCAAAUGCAUCAUUUUUUAAAUGCAUUCCUCCUCCCCUGCACGUACGGACACCAGGGUGCACAUGCGGAGGUUAGAGCACAGCUUGAAAGAGUUGCCUCUCUCCUUCCACCAUGUGGGUUCCUGGGGUUGAUUUCAGGCCAGCAAGCUCCUUCACCCUGUGAUCCAUCUUGCCAGCUCAAAUACAUUAAGAUGCAUCACUUCUUCCUCUACAUUUGUAUGUGCAGGUGUGUACAUGUGAGUAUAGGUAUCUUUAGAGCCCAGAAGAGAGCAUUGGAUACCCUGAAAAAGGGAGCCUGAUAUGAGUGCGGGGAACUAAACUCAGUUCCUCUGCAGAAGCAGUAUGUACUCUUAGCUGGGUGUGGUGGCUCAUGCCUUAAAUCCCAGCACUCAGGAGGUAGAGGCAGGCAGAUCUCUGUGAGGUUAAGGCCAUCCUUGUCUACACAGUGAGUUCCAAGCCAACCAAGGCUACGUAGUGAGACUCUGUCUCAAAAAACAAGCAGCAAAGGAGUAAGUGCUCUUAACUGCUGAGUCGUCUCUCCAGCCCCCUAAACACGUCAUGUCUGAGCUGACCCGGGAGCUGAAGCAUAACAUUCCCUUCCUUGGCCUGACCAGAGGCAUUUGGAGGCAUCUUCAGUUCUCACAAUUGUCUGGUGGGGUGCAACUGACAUCUGAGCCACUGAGACCAGACAGGCUGCAUGGUGCGCACACUAAGAGGGCUACCCACCCAAGUGAAGAAUGUGGCCCAGUUGAAAGAUAAAAGUUUUUUUUUUUUUUUGAUUCUUUUUUUCGGAGCUGGGGACCAAACCCAGGGCCUUGGGCUUCCUAGGCAAGCGCUCUACCACCGAGCUAAAUCCCCAAACCCAAGAUAAAAGUUUUAAAGUUGCCCCCCUAGACACAAAGUUUAGAGCAGAAAAAAAAAACAGGUUAGUCCCCAAAAUUGUAUAUUCCAAGAAGUCUCUCCUAGGGCUAUAGAAUGGAUAAUUACAUUGGCCAGCUCAACAGCUUUCUCCCUGAAACUAGCUGACCAUAAAUCUUAGAAAACAAUCUUGAGAAGCAGGAAACAACUUCUCCUAGGAACUAGCGGAGCAUGAAGUUAAACAAUCUGAGAAGUAGGAGACAGCUUCUCCUAGGAGACAAUCUUGGGGGACAGAGAGUUCUUCCUUGUGAUUUUUCACUGUUAUUCUACACACUUUCCAAUGACGCCAUCCCUGCCCUCUCGGGUUGUGGUUUCUCCCUUUAAAUACCUCUUCUCCCAGCCUCUUGGGGUCGAACUCCACUGCCCCUGCAUGGGAUACGAGUCUCGACCCCAGUGCACUGGUUGCUAUCGAUAAACCUCAUGUGAUUACAACAA